CCCUCUAGUCCCCAAUGGAAAGCAUACCCCAGCAUGCAAUUUGCUAUGCACUAAGGAUACGAUCAUGCAAUUCUUUCCUCGUGGUGUAUGGAUCUGGACUUUAGCGUGGAACACUGCAGUUUUUAUCUUAUAGCUUUGGGAUUUUCCAUAGAAAAGUCCUAACCCCUGCACUGUAAAGUGAAGAGCGUUAAUGCACUUAUUUCAAUGUUUAUAUACAUAUGUUAAAAUCCACCAUUUAGUGUUUGUAGUUAAUGUAAUCACAUGAAUACACUGAUUUUAUGUGUAAAUUGUGCUGUUCCAGGUCAUACUGAACGAAAGUGAGCUCUUGUUAAGCACAGAGUAUACCCUUUGCAUUAGCACACAGCUCCUUUAGUUCCACAGUCAUACCUUCGCACCUAGACCAUUGCUACAUAAUGGGCCAUAUUUUAUAAACCCCUUGUUAACCCAUGUAAUGCUUCCUACUUCAGACACCCUGAGUUUUCUUCUUACCCGAUCUUUAGUGGAGCGUUCCUGAUAGAAUGUUUAUUGCCGCAGUCCUUGUUGCAUGACAGCAGGUUUUCUGUGCAUACAGACUGGCUCCAGCUUUCUAGUAUUGGUAACAAUGACUGCCACAAGUGACGAAUGACAAUGUUUAUCUUUCCACACCGUGCAAUUUUUCCCUGUCUGGCAUACAAUAAUAUGCUUUCGACAGGCAGCGAAUGGGUUAAGAGCCAGCUUCUGUGCGGAGUAAGAUAAGAGAUGUGUGCAGUGUGUUUUCUGGACCAUGCGCUUUCUGUGAAUCGGAGAUAGUUGUUUGUUUUGUAUUUUUAUUUAUGAUGCUAUAAUAAAAACCAAUUACUGUUGUUCAACUAUAAA